GAUGAACGCUGGCGGCGUGCCUAAUACAUGCAAGUCGAGCGAAUGGAUUAAGAGCUUGCUCUUAUGAAGUUAGCGGCGGACGGGUGAGUAACACGUGGGUAACCUGCCCAUAAGACUGGGAUAACUCCGGGAAACCGGGGCUAAUACCGGAUAAUAUUUUGAACUGCAUGGUUCAAAAUUGAAAGGCGGCUUCGGCUGUCACUUAUGGAUGGACCCGCGUCGCAUUAGCUAGUUGGUGAGGUAACGGCUCACCAAGGCAACGAUGCGUAGCCGGCCUGGGAGGGUGAUCGGCCACACUGGGACUGAGACACGGCCCAGACUCCUACGGGAGGCAGCAGUAGGGAAUCUUCCGCAAUGGACGAAAGUCUGACGGAGCAACGCCGCGUGAGUGAUGAAGGCUUUCGGGUCGUAAAACUCUGUUGUUAGGGAAGAACAAGUGCUAGUUGAAUAAGCUGGCACCUUGACGGUACCUAACCAGAAAGCCACGGCUAACUACGUGCCAGCCGCCGCAGUAA
rnacentral:rRNA from 1 species